rnacentral:rRNA from 1 species
UGCUUAAAGCAGGCAUAUGCCUUGAAUACUCCAGCAUGGAAUAAUAUUAAAGAUUUUUAUCUUUCUUAUUGGUUCUAAGAUAAAAAUAAUGAUUAAUAGGGACAGUUGGGGGCAUUUGUAUUUAACAGUCAGAGGUGAAAUUCUUAGAUUUGUUAAAGACAAACUAAUGCGAAAGCAUUUGCCAAGGAUGUUUUCAUUAAUCAAGAACGAAAGUUAGGGGAUCGAAGACGAUCAGAUACCGUCGUAGUCUUAACCAUAAACUAUGCCAACUAGAGAUUGGAGGUU